AUAUAUGAUAUUUUGAUGUUUAAAAAGGACAUAUAUGAUAUUUUGAAAUUUUAUGAAUGGUAAAUAUGAUAUUUAGAAAAUUUAUGAAGGAUAAAUAUGAUAUUUAGAAAUUAAAUUUGGUAAAUAUGAUAUUUUGAUGUUUAAGAAGGGCAUAUAUCCCGUAUAGAAUAUUAAAACAAAACUUUCAAAUUCAAAUUCAAUAAGUGAUAAAAGCGUUUAUAUUGGGCUUUUAUAUUCAAUUUUCAGACUUUCUACAGCUCUCAAGUCUCAAGUAACCUAACGACUAACGAAAAGAGAAGCCUCUUGCCGCCAUUCCUGAUCAAUCUUCCCCUCCUGCUUCUAUUCCCACCGGUAACUUACCCAACAUCAAUGUACCUGAUCUCACCGAACAAUACCAGUGGGUCUUAAUCAAGCAGAAAAGAGUUCCAAAGAAAGCUCUCAACUUAAACCUGUACAAAUGAAACGUAAGAAAAGAGAGUCGUCUGGAGCUAUUAUAAAGCUUCUGGAGUUUCUAACUCAAUAAAUUGCUACUCAAAAACGUGUUUUAGAAAUAUUAGAGUCAGAUUUCUCUUCUAUCAGCCAAAGCCAUGAUUUUGGUAUAAAUGCAGCUGUAAAUCUGAUUAACCGAAUGGUGGAUGAUGAAAUAAUGACACAAGGGAGCGAGUUGUGGUGCUUUGCAAUGUGUUUAUUUGAAGAUGCAGUGAAGAGGGAAUUAUUUAUAAGUCUUCCAGAUGAUGAUGGCAGAUUGGCAUGGCUGAAGUAUAAGAAAGACGUUGGCAAAUAAAUUUACUUGUUUAACAUUUCAUUACGAUCAGAUUAAAUUAGUUUUGUUUGUUUAUUUUCAUCUGGAUACUUGUUUAGUUGAUUUAUUUCAAUUUUUAAUGCUACAUCUAUGAUUUAUUA